UACGGGGGGGGCAAGCGUUGUUCGGAAUUACUGAGCGUAAAGGGCUCGUAGGCGGCCAACUAAGUCAGACGUGAAAUCCCUCGGCUUAACCGGGGAACUGCGUCUGAUACUGGAUGGCUUGAGUUUGGGAGAGGGAUGCGGAAUUCCAGGUGUUGCGGUGAAAUGCGUAGAUAUCUGGAGGAACACCGGUGGCGAAGGCGGCAUCCUGGACCAACACUGACGCUGAGUGAGCGAAAGCCAGGGGAGCAAACGGG
rnacentral:rRNA from 1 species